GGCCGGGCCCGAGGGACGGGCGUCCCGUGAACCUGGUCAGGGCUUGACGGCAGCAGCCAUAAGCGAAGGCGUUCGGGCCUUCGGCAACCUGGCCGUC
rnacentral:SRP_RNA from 2 species